GUGGGGAGUAUUGGACAAUGGGCGAAAGCCUGAUCCAGCCAUGCCGCGUGUGUGAAGAAGGUCUUCGGAUUGUAAAGCACUUUAAGUUGGGAGGAAGGGCAGUAAGUUAAUACCUUGCUGUUUUGACGUUACCGACAGAAUAAGCACCGGCUAACUUCGUGCCAGCAGCCGCGGUAAUACGAAGGGUGCAAGCGUUAAUCGGAAUUACUGGGCGUAAAGCGCGCGUAGGUGGUUUUGUAAGUUGGAGGUGAAAUCCCCGGGCUCAACCUGGGAACUGCCUCCAAAACUGCAUGACUAGAGUACGGUAGAGGGUAGUGGAAUUUCCUGUGUAGCGGUGAAAUGCGUAGAUAUAGGAAGGAACACCAGUGGCGAAGGCGACUACCUGGACUGAUACUGACACUGAGGUGCGAAAGCGUGGGGAGCAAACAGGAUUAGAAACCCCUGUAGUCC
rnacentral:rRNA from 1 species